UAUCGUCGCUGCUAUGGACCUCCGGUUGCCGGAGCUUCUUCACCCCUGUUGCACUAGUCCGCACGUUAGCCUCCACUCACACUCUUAUAAGCUGUAAUUCUCACUUAAUUGGAAACAGAAACAGAAGCUUCCGCUGUAAAUCAUCUGCUUCAUUAGAUGUUCAUUCAGCUGACACCAGCGCUUCCUCAAAUGGGUAUUCCAUAAUCCUUUUUCUGACCUACAUACAUAUAUAUACAUACAUACAUAUAUACUCCCUCGGUCUCAUAUUAUUUGAUCAUUGCAACGUAUAUAAAUAUUGUAAAAUAUGGUGUUUGUUUAGAGCUGAAUGGCUUGGGUACGUUUAUUUUGAAUAAAAAUUGACUGAAUGGCUGAAUCAGUUAGAUUUUUGAACCGAAUGAUCAAGUUUUUUUUUUGGCUAAAUGGACUGUAUGACUGCAUAAUGAAGUAUUUUAUAUUUAAUUUUUUUAUAAUAUUAUCUAUUAUAUUAAGUAAUAUUAAAUAAAUUUACAAUAAUUUUGAAAAUUUUCACAUGGUAAUAAAAAUAUGUUAUUCAGGUGUGUUUGAGACAUGUCAAUAUAAUAUGAAUUCUUCAUUUACCUCAUUCAUAUUACUUAAACAUUCAAAAGUAUUUCAUUCAAUUUUAUCAAACACCCCCUAUUUUAAAAAAAUAUUAUUUUAUAUUGUUUCAUAAUUUAAAUGAGUCCUCUCAAUAAUAAACGUCUCAAUAAUAAAUGUCUUAGUUUGAUUUUUAGAUCAAAUUGACCAUUUUUAAAAUUUAUAUAAAUUUAAAAAAUUAUUCAAGAUAUACACCGAGAGAUUAUGAUCAUAAUAAAGGCCCUUUUGUAUAUAAUAAUCGCAUUGUAGCGGGUAUAAUUUAGUGGUAAAAGUGUGAUUCGUUGUAGCAAUCCCUUAAAUAGUUAAGGGGUCUUUUGGUUCGAUUCAUAUUAUGAUAAAAAAAAUUAUUUCUUAAAAGUAAUCCUUUACCUCUGAAAGAUUAAAGGAAACAUAUAAAUUCUCGUGAUUUGUAUCAAAGGUCACUUAAAAAUUGAAAAAAUAGAUUAUGAAAUUAUGAAACAAAAAUUUUCCAUCCUUUUCGGGUUUAUUAGUUUUGUAAUAAAAAGUAUAAGGUUUUGUCACCUAUCUAAUUAUCUCUCCAUUGGGCAGGAUUUUAUUGGCCCACGUACUUAUUUGUCGAGGAG
rnacentral:lncRNA from 1 species